GGACCCCACUGCUAUCGGGGUAGGACUAAGCCAUGCGAGUCGAGCGUCUCCGAGCCGACGGCGGAGACGCGGCGGACGGCUCCGUAACACGUAGCCAACCUACCUUCGGGACGGGGAUAACCCCGGGAAACUGGGGCUAAUCCCCGAUAGGCAAGGAGGCCUGGAAUGGUCCCUUGCCCAAAGGGCGUUGGAACCGCGCUUCCAACGCCGCCCGAAGAUGGGGCUGCGGCCGAUCAGGUAGUUGGUGGGGUAACGGCCCACCAAGCCUAUAACCGGUACGGGCCGUGAGAGCGGGAGCCCGGAGAUGGGCUCUGAGACAAGAGCCCAGGCCCUACGGGGCGCAGCAGGCGCGAAACCUUCACAAUGCCCGAAAGGGCGAUGAGGGGACGCUGAGUGCCCUUCGGGGCUGUUCGGGUGCCUAAAAAGCACCCGGAGUAAGGGCUGGGUAAGACCGGUGCCAGCCGCCGCGGUAAUACCGGCAGCCCGAGUGGUGGCCGCGUUUAUUGGGCCUAAAGGGUCCGUAGCCGGUCGGGUAAGUUCCUCGGGAAACCUCGCCGCUCAACGGUGAGGCUUCCGGGGAAUACUGCCCGACUUGGGACCGGGAUGGGCCGGAGGUACUCCCGGGGUAGGGGUGAAAUCCGUUGAUCCCGGGAGGACCACCCGUAGCGAAGGCGUCCGGCUGGAACGGGUCCGACGGUGAGGGACGAAGGCCAGGGGCGCGAACCGGAUUAGAUACCCGGGUAGUCCUGGCUGUAAACGAUGCGGGCUUUGCGUCGGCACUGCCACGAGUGGUGCCGGUGUUGAAGGGAAGCCGUUAAGCCCGCCGCCUGGGGAGUACGGGCGCAAGCCUGAAACUUAA
rnacentral:rRNA from 1 species